rnacentral:rRNA from 1 species
GAUGAACGCUAGCUACAGGCUUAACACAUGCAAGUCGAGGGGCAGCACAGUGUAGCAAUACACGGGUGGCGACCGGCGCACGGGUGCGUAACGCGUAUCCAACCUUCCCGUUACUCUUGGAUAGCCUUCCGAAAGGGAGAUUAAUACAAGAUGGUAUUCAAAUUCCGCAUGUUAUUUGAAUUAAAGAUUUAUCGGUAACGGAUGGGGAUGCGUGACAUUAGAUAGUAGGCGGGGUAACGGCCCACCUAGUCUACGAUGUCUAGGGGUUCUGAGAGGAAGGGCCCCCACACUGGAACUGAGACACGGUCCAGACUCCUACGGGAGGCAGCAGUGAGGAAUAUUGGUCAAUGGUCGGAAGACUGAACCAGCCAAGUAGCGUGAAGGAUGAAGGUUCUAUGGAUUGUAAACUUCUUUUAUACGGGAAUAAAACCUCCCACGUGUGGGAGCUUGUAUGUACCGUAUGAAUAAGCAUCGGCUAACUCCGUGCCAGCAGCCGCGGUAAUAC